GGAGAGAUGGCAGAGUGGUUGAAUGCGACGGUCUCGAAAACCGUUUCACCCGCAAGGGUGACGGGGGUUCGAAUCCCCCUCUCUCCG
rnacentral:tRNA from 1 species